UUAACUAACCAUCCCCAAGCAUUUAUUACAACUUAUUACAAACCAGAAUGAAUAAAAUUACAUCAGAAAAAUACAAAUAAAAGUAAACUAGACUUCCUCAUUGAGUUAUGAGGUAAAUCAACUCCAAGACCAUCGAUCCAAAAUCUUUCUCCAACCUGGGUGCAUCAAAGUUCCCUAAGAGCCUCAAUAGGACUCCGAGCAAUGCUCACACCUAAGUUGUAUUAUCAGAAUGGGGAUAAGUGUAGUGUGAAAGGGCCAGACCUCAAGUGUCCAAGUUUAGAGGGAGUUCAAGUCAAGUCUCACAAGAGGUGGGCAGAACUUAAAGUCUAAGAGAGUGUGCAAGUGAAGAACAGAGUUCUGGGGAAUAAAGGAGAGGAAAACAGCCACAAACAGGUACAUAAAGAGGUUCAAGGGAAUAAGGAAGUCGCAAAGAGCCUAUUGCUUAUGCUAGGGCAAGCUUUAGGCAUGCCCAGUAAUGGGGGAUGUUGGCAUGCCUAUAAACCUACCAGAAUACACAAUAUUAGAGGCUAUGAUCCCAGGGAAUCAAGUUUGAGUCAUGGGCAAUAACUUUCAGUACUGCCAUGCCUCAAACAUAGCAUGAAUACAUAGGGGUGGGGAUUUAGGGUUCAGAGUCCAGAACAGACAGAAGAAAAUUAUAACAUGCCAAAAUAUAUAUUGAACUAAACACAAGCAACAGAUAGAAAAAAGAGUAAAAGUAUAGUAAACAUAUUUGGGUGAUGCUAGAAUCUUAUCCAGAACAUACUAUUUCAAGGAAGAAAAAUGCAAUAAAAGCAAGUAGCAUGAGUUGAGAAACAGGCCACAGUUCAAGUAACAAAAGAGAAUGUUUUUUGAGUGUGAGUGUGAG
rnacentral:lncRNA from 1 species